AUUGAACGCUGGCGGCGUGCCUAAUACAUGCAAGUCGAGCGAAGCGGCGGAUGGGUGAGUAACGCGUGGGUAACCUGCCCUCAAGUCUGGGAUACCAUUUGGCAACAGAUGAUAAUACCGGAUACUAAAGGAUGGACUUGCGAUGCAUUAGCUAGUGGGUAGGGUAACGGCUUACCAAGGCGAUGAUGCAUAGCCGAGUUGAGAGACUGAUCGGCCACAGUGGGACUGAGACACGGUCCAGACUCCUACGGGAGGCAGCAGUGGGGAAUAUUGCACAAUGGGCGCAAGCCUGAUGCAGCCAUGCCGCGUGUAUGAAGAAGGCCUUCGGGUUGUAAAGUACUUUCAGCGAGGAGGCGUUACUCGCAGAAGAAGCACCGGCUAACUCCGUGCCAGCAGCCGCGGUAAUAC
rnacentral:rRNA from 1 species